AGUGAACGCUGGCGGUAGGCCUAACACAUGCAAGUCGAACGGCAGCACAGUAAGAGCUUGCUCUUACGGGUGGCGAGUGGCGGACGGGUGAGGAAUACAUCGGAUUCUACUUUUUCGUGGGGGAUAACGUAGGGAAACUUACGCUAAUACCGCAUACGACCUACGGGUGAAAGCAGGGGAUCUUCGGACCUUGCGCGAUUGAAUGAGCCGAUGUCGGAUUAGCUAGUUGGCAGGGUAAAGGCCCACCAAGGCGACGAUCCGUAGCUGGUCUGAGAGGAUGAUCAGCCACACUGGAACUGAGACACGGUCCAGACUCCUACGGGAGGCAGCAGUGGGGAAUAUUGGACAAUGGGCGCAAGCCUGAUCCAGCCAUACCGCGUGGGUGAAGAAGGCCUUCGGGUUGUAAAGCCCUUUUGUUGGGAAAGAAAAGCAGCAGGUUAAUACCCCGCUGUUCUGACGGUACCCAAAGAAUAAGCACCGGCUAACUUCGUG
rnacentral:rRNA from 1 species